AAUGAACGCUGGCGGCGCGCCUAAUACAUGCAAGUCGAGCGAGAAGACGUAGCAAUACGUUUGUAAAGCGGCGAACGGGUGAGGAAUACAUGGGUAACCUACCCUCGAGUGGGGAAUAACUAGCCGAAAGGUUAGCUAAUACCGCGUACGCUCCUUGGACUUCGGUUCAGGGAGGAAAGCGAUACCGUGGGUAUCGCGCUCUUGGUUGGGCUCAUGUCCUAUCAGCUUGUUGGUGAGGAACGGCUCACCAAGGCUUCGACGGGUAGCUGGUCUGAGAGGACGAUCAGCCACACUGGCACUGCGACACGGGCCAGACUCCUACGGGAGGCAGCAGUAAGGAAUAUUGCGCAAUGGGCGAAAGCCUGACGCAGCGACGCCGCGUGGGGGAUGAAGGUCUUCGGAUUGUAAACCCCUUUCGGGAGGGAAGAUGGAACGAGCAAUCGUUCGGACGGUACCUCCAGAA
rnacentral:rRNA from 1 species